AGGACAAUGUAAAUAACAACAACAACAACAACCACAAAAACAUAUUUUCCUGUGCUAAAACUUCCUACCAGUUGAAUUGGUGGGUAGAAAAAUAUAUGAAGACAUUGAGAGUUUCAAAGUAUUUAUUUGAUGAGCUAGACAGGACCUCACCCUCUUCCUCAUUUUGCUUGCCUGGGCCAGGUAGGUAGAGACUUUGGGGCAUAUCUUUUCUCCUGCAUUUCAUGCUUCUUGGGACUAAAACUCUUGGCUCACGUGCCAUAAAGCACGGAGUUUUAGAAGAUGUUCCAGAAGCCAGGCAGAUUCCAACAGGAAGGCUAGCCCUGCCUUGCCAACUCGAACUGUUGUCAAGGUCUCUAACUUCCCAUUUCUGCACCUGUACGAUGCGGAUAAGGCCCAUACUGUGGAGGAGAUGAGGGCCAUUAAAGAUCGUGUUUGACGACGUGUAUAGAAGACACUCAACGAGGCUCACAACCAGAGGCUGCUCACCUGCAGAGACCUCCCACCUGGAUUAUCUAACCUGCCCUUCUCCAAAAUCUGUAUACCAUAAACCCACCACUCGAUUCAGAUGUAUAUAAUAUACUCAAUGAGUUUCUGGGCUGCUAGUGAGUAUCAGAGAGUGUAGCAAUAGACCCCAGCUUCUCUGUACAUGUGUUUGUGUAUCUGUCCUUUCUUCACCCCACAUCACACCCUUUGGGUCCAUCUCUAAGCUGGGCAUGUCACAGCAAUGUAGAUCAAUAAAGGCAAACCCGUGGCAAC